GUUUGGGUAAUUAGCAACGAAAACAUAAAUAACUAAAGACCUGUGUAAAAGCGUAAUAAAAGUAGCUCCAAAAGAAUCAGGGAUACGGAAAUGCAUAUUUGUAAUUGUAAUGCAUUGUCAUGCAUUACAUUUGUCCACGUAAUUGCAUGUAAUCAAUAUUUUCACCAUUUUGAAACUUGAUAAUCAAUUAAGCUUUGUAAUUACUAUAUAAUUAGAAAUGAGAUUCUCAGUGAAUAAAUUGAAAUUAAAAAAACAAAAAGUAUAUUUGUAUAAGUGAAGUUAACAUUAGUUAAAAUAAAUAUUAAACUCCAUCUCUGUAAUUUUUAAAAGAAAACACAGAGAUGUCCAUACCUAGAAAAUGGAGUCAUGUGCAUGAAGAAUACAACCUUUGAAACCCUUAUGAUGAUAACAUGCAAUUAUAGUAUAUCAUUGACUUUUUACUAAUACACUUAGAUUCAAUCCAUUGAACAAUGACUGGGUAUGCUUGAAUCUU
rnacentral:lncRNA from 1 species